rnacentral:rRNA from 1 species
GAUGAACGCUGGCGGCGUGCCUAAUACAUGCAAGUCGAGCGAAAAGAUGAUGAGCUUGUUCCUUUGACGUUAGCGGCGGACGGGCGAGUAACACGUGGAUAACCUACUUAUAUUACUGGGAUAACUUCGGGAAACCGGUGCCAAUACCGGAGCAUAUAUUCAACCGCAUGGAUCAAUAGUGAAUGACGGUUUUGCUGUUACUUUUAGAUGGAUCCGCGCUGCAUUAGUUAGUUGGUAAGGGAACGGCCUACCAAGGCAACGAUGCGUAGCCGACCUGAGAGGGUGGUCGGCCACACUGGAACUGGGACAAGGUCCAGGCUCCUACGGGAGGCAGGCGUAGGGAAUUUUCGGCAAUGGGCGGAAGCCUGACGGAGCAACGCCGCGUGAGUGAAGAAGGGCUUCGGAGCGGAAAACUCUGUUAGUAGGGAAAAACAAAUGUGAGAGUAACUCUGCGCGGCUUGACGGUUACUAAAAAGAUAGCCACGGCUAACUACGUG